rnacentral:rRNA from 1 species
UACGAAGGGGGCUAGCGUUGCUCGGAAUCACUGGGCGUAAAGGGUGCGUAGGCGGGUCUUUAAGUCAAGGGGUGAAAUCCUGGAGCUCAACUCCAGAACUGCCUUUGAUACUGAAGAUCUUGGAGUUCGGGAGAGGUGAGUGGAACUGCGAGUGUAGAGGUGAAAUUCGUAGAUAUUCGCAAGAACACCAGUGGCGAAGGCGGCUCACUGGCCCGAUACGUGACGACUGAGGCAGG